AAGUCUUUCCAUUUGAGAUCCAAACUUCACCGUCUCUCUCUCUCCAUAAAUAACAAAACCUUUUUCUGCAUUCUGAACAAUCUCUCUCCUCUCCCAAACACAUGAAUCCGAGUUUAAAGCUUAAAAAUAAGCAAAAGAAAUAUAUACCCUUUCCUCCUUGUACCCCAACGCAGCCAUUGCUACCUGCAACUCCUCCCAAAAUGAGCCAGUGCGUUCCCAGCUGGGAUCUCGAUGAUAAUCCCAACCCCGCCAGGCUAUCACUUCGCUCUCACUCCAAUUCCAAUCCUGAUAGCACUAUGUUGCACUAUGAAGUAGCGGAGCUGACAUGGGAGAACGGCCAGCUAGCCAUGCACGGCUUAGGUCCGCCACGGGUGCCCGCCAAAUCCACCACCGCCACCACCAACCCCCCUGCUUCCAAGUACACCACCUGGGAAAAGCCACGCGCUAGCGGCACCUUGGAGUCCAUUGUUAACCAGGCCACUGCUUUGCCAGCCCUGCGCAAAGCAGUCCCUUUCGAUGGCAGCGACGACUUGGUCCCCUGGUUCGAACAUCACCACCACCGCGUUGCUUUGGCCGCUGCUGCCACCGCCUCUGCCACCAUGACUAUGGACGCUUUGGUUCCCUGCUCCAACCGCACCUCCGAGGCCGAACAGGCCACCCAGGGCCGCGUGGUGGAUCCACUCGCCACCUGCGUGGUCGGAUGCUCUACUCACGUAGGGUCCUGCAGUGGGGCUGCAGCCACCACACAGGACAAAGACCACGACGUCCUCUUCACGGGGAAACGAGCGGGGGAGGCGCGUGCCACCGCCGAGUGGAGCAGCAGAGACCAAAGCUGCACUGGAAGCGCCACGUGUGGGAUGGAUAGUCAUCAGAUGACUAUUGACACGUGUGAGAGGGACCGGGGUUUGGGUUCCACGUCGCUUGGGUCAGCGGAACACACCAGCUCUCACGGCAAGCCUUUCACAAAGACCACCACCACCGCCGAUGACCACGACUCUGUUUGCCACAGCUCACCGCCGGUAGGCAGUCACUGCUUGAGGGAGGCAGGUGAUCAGGACAAAAAGAAGGGUACUGGGAAAUCUUCUUUUUCAAAUAAAAGAAGUAGGGCUGCUGCAAUUCAUAACCAAUCUGAACGUAAAAGGAGAGAUAAAAUAAACCAAAGGAUGAAGACCCUGCAGAAGCUGGUCCCCAAUUCGAGUAAGGUAUCUAUUUCUUGCAUUGUUGCACAGACUGACAAGGCUUCAAUGCUGGACGAAGUGAUUGAAUAUCUAAAGCAAUUGCAAGCUCAAGUUCAGAUGAUGAGCAGAAUGAAUAUGCACCCGAUGAUGUUACCAAUGACCAUGCAACAACUUCCGAUGUCCAUGAUGGCUCCUAUGGGCAUGGGGAUGGGUAUGGGAAUCGGAAUUGGUAUGGGCAUGGACAUGAACACCAUCAACCGCUCCAACAUGGCAGGCAUUUCUCCUGUUCUUCACCCUUCUGCCUUCAUGCCUAUCACCUCCUGGGAUGGCUCCAGUGACCGAAUUCAAGCCACUUCAGGGGCUGUAAUGCCAGACCCCUUGUCCACAUUCCUCGCAUGCCAACCUCAGUUCGAGGACCUCGCCUGUUUCUAAUUGAAAUUGUGUCGUUAGACUUAUGCCACGUGUCUCGCACCUCCAAUUAAGUUGGAACUGGGAGUUAUUGGAUUUAUGCAACAUGUCUCAUAUCUAUUGUUGGAUAUGUCCCAUAUCAUAUGCCCCGGUUUCCCUGGUCAGUAGUGUGCACUUAUUGCCAUCAGGUCAUUGUACGACUCAAAUCAUAUUCAAUCUGGCAUGAAUAUCAGUGUUUACUUUGUUUAGAACGUCUUCAUGCUACUGAAUCAGUAACACCAAUGACCAUGGAUGCUUACAGCAGGAUGGUUGCCAUGUACCAGCAGCAGCAGCAUCAACCUCAACCUUCUAGUUCUAAGAGCUAAAGCUUUCUUCUGUUGGGGUCUCGUUCCUUGCAGAGCUUAGCUAGAGAGCAAAACCACAAAUUGGGUGCAUGCAAUUGCUGCAAAGAUUGUGGAGGGGAGGUUAGGAUUCCUCAAGAGUCCCUACUCAAAUUCUAGAUUCUAUAGCGAGAAAAGAUAGAUAUAUGAAGUGUAUUCCGGACCAGUUAUUGUUGUUAGCACGUAUCCUUUGGACGACAUUAAAUGCUCAAAGGAUUCACAUUAUAUCAUGUCUUGAUCUCUUUCUCACUCCGAGUCCUACAAUUCGAAUAGAAGUUUUAGAAGAUCUUGAUCUUGUGAAGGGAUGUAUUUAAAUAUCGCGAGUGAUAGUGUAUUAUUUUAGCUCCAAGAGAUGAGUGAAUGGCUAAAAGUACUGGUGCCUUUUUUGGGUAAUCAAUUUGUGAAUUACUGAUGAAUUUCGUGUAUAAUAUUCUUUUUCAUUUUCAUCCAA